GGCAAAUCGCAAGCACAGAGUUGACUUAAAUUGGCCAGCUGUCAGUUCUUGUAAAUUGCACGAAAAAGGUCUAGUAGCCUAAACCAUUUAGAAUUUCCCAAAGAAUAUACCACCAAAAUGAAGGUACCUUUUGGAAAGAAACACGCUGAAAUUGCCACCUCCUUUAUUGGCUCCGCUGUUGGCUAUGGUGGUGCUGCUACCUUGGGUUUGUUAUAUUUCACCGACUGGAAAUUGGUGCUUCAAUACAUGCCAUUCUAUGGUUCUAAAUUCGCAAAAUCCGAAUAAAUGUGUUCGUAUAUUUCAAAGUUUUGGAUAAGACUAGUAUGUGUAGUUAAAUUUUAAGAAUAUUUGAAUUAAUAAAUUUAAGAUUUGGCGACACAUCAA
rnacentral:sRNA from 1 species